UCUGUUGAGAAAAAAAAGUGAAGUUAAGGGAAACUUUUGCAGUUUAGAAGAAACAAAAGCACAGAUUUAGUUGAGUAAGUGGUAUAAAUGAUUUGCAUUCUAGAAUCAUUUUGAAUCCGUGCAUAUAUGAGUCUCCAAAGAGGAUGUAAACCAGUGAGCCCUGACCCCUUUUGAGUUAUAGAUCCUGUUGAGACUUCAAAGAACCCACAAACCUUCUCGAAAAAUGCCCCUGUGCCUGGAUGUAUGAAUCUUGCCAUGCAGGCUCAGAGUUCAUAGGUCAUAACAUUCAUGAUUUAAAGACAUUGUACAAGUUUUUCUUAUCAACUGUAGUUUCAAUAAAUUUUGUAGUUCACCAACCAUAUUUUUAGCAAGGUGAUCUCAUCCAGAAACACAUAGUUAAAAAUUAUACUUAUAAAUUUUAUUUAUAAACUAAUUUAUUGAAAUUUUACCAUCCAAAGACAUCCUCUCAUUUACAUCCUCCUCUUGCCUAGGGAAUUCGAAGUAUCUUAAAGCCCCAUAUCCUGAAACAGUAAAAUUCCAGCAGAAAAUCAAGGUCAACCACAAAACUCUCCGUGUCUGUAUCUGAGCUGCUCUGCAGACCAGGCAAAGGCAGAAUACUACACGUCUUCACUGGCAGAAUAAACAACACCAGUUCUUUGGAUAAAAGCUUUCCUUGGGCUCCACUAAAUAAUUUAAGAAUUAAAUCCUAAGUGAAAAUCAGACUGAGAAUGUAAACCUAUCUCCAGCUGGAAUGAGAGAGACAGACCAUUUCUCCCCAGGACACCGCAGCCACAGAACGUCCUGACAGACCCCGCUAAGGGACUACUGCUUUCUGCCUCACCAAGAAACCUUGUCCUCUGCAACCAGAGACUAUCAGAAAUUUGCUCUUAGUGGUUCUAUCAAUAAAAGUGAAACCUCUUACCUUUGCCUAGAGGAGCUAAGGCAAUCUAACACAAAGCAGCAGCCUCCAUUUCCAACCCAGGGGCAGGAUCUCAAGGGAUUUCUGAACACGAGGUUCAUCUUUAAGAAAACAGGCCCCUCGGUCCCCUUCUCAGUCCGGAGCUGACAAUGACCUGUUUAGAUGCAGCCCCGUUUCAUUUCAAUUGCCUGUAUCCCAUCCUGCCCCUAUGCCUGGGGAGGGAGGAGGGAGGACUCCUUUCCUCCGGUUGGUGAGGUGCCCACAGUUCCUCUGAUAAGUGGCCUCCCUCCCCGGUUAUGUGUUAAUACAUCUGUCAGACUACAGAUUCAUCCCUGGUGGCUGGGACGGGUGUUCUUUAUUAAAGAUCCCACAGGAAGAAGUGGACAGGGUCUGGACAUCUGUGGCAGGUUAACAGAUCUUUGUGACAUCUGUCACAUCGCCGCUUAACCGACAAUUCCACGUAGACGUCCUACUAACACCUCGGUCCCAGCCGCCGCUUCAAACGCGUCUGUCCUCUAACACUUCAGUGGAUGUGCCCGUACGCACCCCCACACUUCGAUCCCGCCCCCUCCUCGUCACUACAGCACAGGCCCUCCCUUCUAGCUCGGAUUGUCCCAACAGCUCCCGAACCGGGUUCUUGACCCUCUUGAUCCGUCUGUCAUGCUGCUGCCAGGCAUGAUCUCUCCCCAGCCCACAGCUGGUCCCAUCCCUUGCUGGAAGGUCUUUCCGGGUAUCCCUGCGCUUUAAGGUCCACAUCCAAACUCCUCAGCAAGACAGACAAAGCCAUUCGUGGCUUGGUCUCUGUCCUCCCUGAAUGUGCCACCAGUCCCUGAAAUGCUAGCCCAACAGAGCCCCUCCAGCUCCUAGAUGUGUUUCUUGCGCACUGUAGUUCCAGGCCUCUGUGUGCUCCACCCUCUGCCCGAACCGCUCUCUUCCCAGGCCUUCCCCUCCUCGGUUCACAGUCCAGGAUCCUCGACACGGCGCACGCGCUCUCUCUCUCCAAGCUAGUAAGCCAACGAGCAGUUACCGAGAAGGACCGUGUACGCGAAAUGCUAGCAUCCUCUAAGCCGCUACAUGAGAUACAGGACAGCAGUGCGAACAGCAACACUCUGGAAUUUCUACAACGUAUCAAAGGUUUAUACGAAAAAGACAGUAUCUGAAAUUGAUAAUGGGAUCGGGUCUCUCGGAUGAUGCCGGAAUGAUGGCUCUCAUCCCUGCUCCUUCCUCUGCUGAACCGACAGGAGACUUUACACAGGCCUGUGACACAAGUUAGGCUGACGAGCGCCAUUAAAAGCCACAAAGCAAGAGUGAAGAGUAAUUCGCUGUGGUGACAGCUAGCAUUUCAGCUGUUUGCCACGCUUCUUAGGUAACAAAGGUCCUUUUCCUACUUGACCUCAGCUGAUCUUGGACAAGUCACUUCACCUUUCUAAGCCUUAGGUCCUACCGUGUAAAACACACAAGUACUCACGAGACUGAAUGAAAAAUAAAGCUCAUAAAAAAAAUGUCUCACCCAGGAUGGACCCAAACGAUACUUGCAUUUCUGACCCCUCCCUGCCCAUGUACCCCCCGCCUUCUCACACACCGCUCCGGAAAACAUCUUUCCGUUUCUAGCCUUACUGGGGUAAGGCUGCAACAGCUGAUACCUGCGCAGAGCGCUCCGGUGAGGCGGGAGGUGGCUGAGGAGCAGCACCGCACUGCAGAAUCAGACCGUUUUAACCAGGCAAGUGGCCACCACGGUCAAAGGCUGCAGAAGUCAAUUCCAGUAUUUUGCUGCACUACCCACCGCCCUCCUGCAUUGGGGUUGGCUUUGCAGGCUACGCUCAUUCUCUCCACCAACACUCCCGUCCUAAUGCUCGGGGGGGGGGGCUCCAGCGUCACGGGAUCAGUCCUUCCAUGGCCCAGGCCUCCCGGCUCCUUGACCUCAUCUGUGACCUUGUCCCCCAACCUUCCUCCCAGGACCAAAGUGUAGGCCUCGGCCUUCCCAAUAAAUCCAGCUUGUCCGCAGUCCCAAUCCUGAGCAUCCUGCUCUCCAACCACCAGCUCUUCCCUUUCUCUGUGAGACCCAGACGCCAAUAACCCACCCGCCACCUUGUCACUGGCUCCCUCUCCUUUCCUCAUGCCGCCUCACUGCCAAACUCCAAGCUUUCCAAUGGCUUCUCGCAGCACUCAGAGUAAAUGCCACGGCCCCUGGCCUCCGGUCGCCUCUCCGACCCUGACUUCCGCUACUCCCUCCUUGCUGUUCCUUAAACAGCAGGGCCGUUGUGUUGUCCCGCUGCCCUCCUGAGGAUGCUCCUUCAGUACGCCCCGCAGUGAAGGCUGACGCCCUGCUCUCCGGGCCUGUGUCGAUGCAGGUGGCCAUCACCGAGGUGAGGGGCAUGGGAGGAGAGGCCUGCUGGGCACAGGAUGGGGAGGAGUUCAGUCCUGUGUACGCAGAGGGCAAGGUUGGUGCUUGUGAACAUCUAACUAGACCGCUCGACAGGUGCCUCUGGAGCUGGAGCUGCAGAUCGGGCACCAACUAAGACCAGCCUGCCCCGGGAGAGCGGGCACAGCCCUUAACACGCGUAGGCAGGCGUUGCAAAAGGCGUGGCUGCUACACACGCAGGGGAAACUAGAGCAGUGAACCCUAAAGGCGCCCAGGGAUAAGGGGCUCUUGCGUUUCAACGGACUGGAAACUUAGGACUGAGGUUCAAGAACAGCAGGAGGCUCGUGCAGGCUACUUUCAGGCAUCUCGGUGUCGCGGGGCAAGCACAAGCGGCAGCGUGUGGAGAAGGGGAAAGCGUGGGGUCCGGACUCAGACUCCUGGGCUCAAAUCCAGGCUCCGCACUUACAGGUGAUUUCCUUUCAAUGUGCCCGGGGUCCCUGUCUGCAAAACUAGGUGGCAGCUGCUAGGAGGAACACAUCUGAAAUGCUCAGAGCCCUUCCUCAGUAAAUAAGAGGCGUGACAGGGACACAGGAACCUGGGGAGAGGGCUGGCCCUCGGGCUGCAACAUUCAGCCAGUGUCAGAAUGGAAGGGACACAGAAUGAAGAAGCAACUGGCUGGCAGUAAAAACAAACAAAACCCUUUAUGAUGCAGAGAACAGAAGGUGCCCUGAAGGUAGGGGAGGGAGAGGGUCUGCCAAACCCUGGGUUGAAGAGAAAGCAGAGGGUUUCCAUGGAGAAAGGAUAAAAAUAGGACUGAAGUGCAACUUUGCCAGGGGCUAAGACCGUGAUUCCCAAGGGUGGUUACUGUCAGAAUCACCUGUAGAACCACAGCCAGUUUGAAAAGCUCGGGUUCUAUUUCCAGACAUUGAGCAAAUCGGAGGUGGGGUCUGGGACAUGGCUGUUCAGCAAACGUCCACAUGAUUAAGACGUAAUCUGAGUGGAAAAUCAGGGCAACACUUGUCAAAAGACCGGUCUAGUGACAAAAUUCUCCUGAGAAAAUGCGGGGGUGCGGCGAGAACGGCACCAACACCCCAGCUGUGACCCGCCUGGGUGGGGGGAGGGCUAGUCCUGCCCUGUUCUCAGCAACCCCUUGUGACCACGGGGCGGAGGGCCCAGUGGGAAGGGGGCAGCACAGGCAGGAAAGGGAUCAGGGCCUUCCAGGAAUCGGGUUUGAUCAGCCCAAAUUCCACCUGCUAGUUAAACCAGGGAGUUCACAGUGCAUCCGGCUAGUGGGCAAACCAGGGAGGUAUAACAUUUUUUUUUUUUUUUUUUGCCUAAAUCAUGAUGCAAUCUGAUCACCAAGCCCCACGUUUAUCAGGUUUCUGUUUCUGUGUCAAGUUAGACAUCAACUCUCCAUGGGAAUCCCAUGAGGUACAUGGCAUGAUGCUGAUCUGACGAGGAGCUCAUCUAAAGCAGGUUCUGGGACUGCCUCACUCCCUGCCCAGCCCUCCGGAUGAUCUGUUCGCACGCUACCUAGCACACUCGGCAGCAGCACGAUGGGAGUGAAAAAGCACGGACAAAUUCAGGUUCAAAUCUGCCAUGGGCCAGCGGGGCCUGACUUCGAACUGCAGUUCUGCCACUGACGGACCAAUAGAUGAUCUUUAAAGUGUCAGGUAACAUCUCCCAAAUGCCUCCCUGAUGUAAAGUGCACAAAACACGCCUGGAUUACCAGAGGUCUCUCUGCUGCUCACAGAAACUAGAUGUGACACGCCUCUGACAAGGCUUCAUUUCGUCAUCGACCACUCACCCUGUAAGCUCUAUGCAUUUUAACAGCGGAGGGAAACGCAUCCGAGUGUGCCUUACC